rfam:Caenorhabditis elegans chromosome III
CAAUUCGGUCCGGAGUCAAUGGGUUAUCUUUCAAAACCCCCCAUUGACAACAACUUGACCGGCGU